rnacentral:rRNA from 1 species
GAUGUACGCUAGCUACAGGCUUAACACAUGCAAGUCGAGGGGAAACGAUAUUGGAAGCUUGCUUCCGAUAGGCGUCGACCGGCGCACGGGUGAGUAACGCGUAUCCAACCUGCCCACCACUUGGGGAUAACCCUGCGAAAGUAAGACUAAUACCCAAUGACGUCCAUAGAAGACAUCUGAAAUGGAUUAAAGAUUUAUCGGUGAUGGAUGGGGAUGCGUCUGAUUAGCUUGUUGGCGGGGUAACGACCCACCAAGGCGACGAUCAGUAGGGGUUCUGAGAGGAAGGUCCCCCACAUUGGAACUGAGACACGGUCCAAACUCCUACGGGAGGCAGCAGUGAGGAAUAUUGGUCAAUGGGCGAGAGCCUGAACCAGCCAAGUAGCGUGCAGGAUGACGGCCCUAUGGGUUGUAAACUGCUUUUAUAAGGGAAUAAAGUGAGUCUCGUGAGGCUUUUUGCAUGUACCUUAUGAAUAAGGACCGGCUAAUUCCGUGCCAGCCGCCGCGGUAC